rnacentral:rRNA from 1 species
CCGCGGUAAUACGGAGGGUGCAAGCGUUAAUCGGAAUUACUGGGCGUAAAGCGCACGCAGGCGGUCUGUCAAGUCGGAUGUGAAAUCCCCGGGCUCAACCUGGGAACUGCAUUCGAAACUGGCAGGCUUGAGUCUUGUAGAGGGGGGUAGAAUUCCAGGUGUAGCGGUGAAAUGCGUAGAGAUCUGGAGGAAUACCGGUGGCGAAGGCGGCCCCCUGGACAAAGACUGACGCUCAGGUGCGAAAGCGUGGGGAGCAAACAGGAUUAGAUACCCUGGUAGUCCACGCCGUAAACGAUGUCUACUUGGAGGUUGUGCCCUUGAGGCGUGGCUUCCGGAGCUAACGCGUUAAGUAGACCGCCUGGGGAGUACGGCCGCAAGGUUAAAACUCAAAUGAAUUGACGGGGGCCCGCACAAGCGGUGGAGCAUGUGGUUUAAUUCGAUGCAACGCGAAGAACCUUAC